rnacentral:lncRNA from 1 species
CGCGGCAUGUUAAUAUCUCUAUGUAAACCCGACGUGUGGGCCUUUCUUCCAUAUUUCCUGAUAACCCCCUACAGAAAUAGACAAACACCAAAACUCAUGGAAUUCUGUCAGAUAAAACCCUAAGUCUGGGUGUCAAUUGCAUUUGGAUCCUUUUCUUUAUUUAUUUGCUGAUUAUAUUUGAUACUUAAGGACCGUCAACACUAACUCCUACUACUCAGACAAAGUAUACGACC